UUGACCUCGGAUCAGGUAGGGAUACCCGCUGAACUUACGCAUAUUGAUAUGCUGAAGGA
rnacentral:rRNA from 1 species